UACAGAGACUGCGAGCGUUAUUCGGAUUCACUGGGCGUAAAGGGUGCGCAGGCGGCCAAGUGUGUUAGGCGUGAAAGCCCGGGGCUUAACCUCGGAAUUGCACCUAAACCUACUUGGCUAGAGCAUUGGAGAGGGUAGCGGAAUUCACGGUGUAGCAGUGAAAUGCGUAGAUAUCGUGAGGAACACCAGAGGCGAAGGCGGCUACCUGGACAAUUGCUGACGCUCAGGCACGAAAGCGUGGGGAGCAAAAGGG
rnacentral:rRNA from 1 species